rnacentral:rRNA from 2 species
UUCCGGUUGAUCCUGCCGGACCUGACUGCUAUCGGAUUGAUACUAAGCCAUGCGAGUCAUUGUAGCAAUACAAGGCAGACGGCUCAGUAACGCGUAGUCAAUCUACCCUAUGGACGGGAAUAACCUCGGGAAACUGAGAAUAAUGCCCGAUAGAACAUUAUGCCUGGAAUGGUUUAUGUUUCAAAUGAUUUAUCGCCAUAGGAUGGGACUGCGGCCUAUCAGUUUGUUGGUGAGGUAAUGGCCCACUAAGACUAUUACAGGUACGGGCUCUGAGAGGAGUAGCCCGGAGAUGGGUACUGAGACACGGACCCAGGCCCUAUGGGGCGCAGCAGGCGAGAAAACUUUGCAAUGUGCGAAGGCACGACAAGGUUAAUCCGAGUGGUUUCUGCUAAAGAAACCUUUUGUCAGUCCUAGAAACACUAACGAAUAAGGGGUGGGCAAGUUCUGGUGUCAGCCGCCGCGGUAAAACCAGCACCUCAAGUGGUCAGGAUGAUUAUUGGGCCUAAAGCAUCCGUAGCUCGUUUUGUAAGUUUUCGGUUAAAUCCAUGCGCUUAACGUAUGGGCUGCCGGGAAUACUGCAUAACUAGGAAGUGGGAGAGGUAGACGGUACUCGGGAGGAAGGGGUAAAAUCCUUUGAUCUCUUGAUGACCACCUGUGGCGAAGGCGGUCUACCAGAACACGUUCGACGGUGAGGGAUGAAAGCUGGGGGAGCAAACCGGAUUAGAUACCCGGGUAGUCCCAGCUGUAAACUAUGCAAACUCAGUGAUGCAUUGGCUUAUGGCCAAUGCUGUGCUGCAGGGAAGCCGUUAAGUUUGCCGCCUGGGAAGUACGUACGCAAGUAUGAAACUUAAAGGAAUUGGCGGGGGAGCACCACAA